GACGAACGCUGGCGGCGUGCUUAACACAUGCAAGUCGAACGGUAAGGCCCUUCGGGGUACACGAGUGGCGAACGGGUGAGUAACACGUGGGUGAUCUGCCCUGCACUUCGGGAUAAGCCUGGGAAACUGGGUCUAAUACCGGAUAGGACCACUGCCUGCAUGGGUGGUGGUGGAAAGCUUUUGCGGUGUGGGAUGGGCCCGCGGCCUAUCAGCUUGUUGGUGGGGUGAUGGCCUACCAAGGCGACGACGGGUAGCCGGCCUGAGAGGGUGACCGGCCACACUGGGACUGAGAUACGGCCCAGACGCCUACGGGAGGCAGCAGUGGGGAAUAUUGCACAAUGGGCGCAGGCCUGAUGCAGCGACGCCGCGUGAGGGAUGACGGCCUUCGGGUUGUAAACCUCUUUCAGCACCGACGAAGCGCAAGUGACGGUAGGUGCAGAAGAAGGACCGGCCAACUACGUGCCAGCCGCCGCAGUAA
rnacentral:rRNA from 1 species